AUACGUAGGUGACAAGCGUUAUCCGGAUUUACUGGGCGUAAAGGGCGUGUAGGCGGUCUUGCAAGUCAGAAGUGAAAUUCCUGAGCUCAACUCGGGCGCUGCUUCUGAAACUGCAGGACUUGAGUGCUGGAGGGGAUAGCGGAACUCCUAGUGGAGCGGUAAAAUGCGCAGAUAUUAGGAAGAACACCGGUGGGGAAGGCGGUUAUCUGGACAGUAACUGACGCUGAGGCGCGAAAGCGUGGGGAGAAAACAGGAUUAGAUACCCUGGUUGUCCACGCCGUAAACGAUGAAUACUAGGUGUAGGGGGUAUCGACUCCCUCUGUGCCGCAGUUAACACAAUAAGUAUUCCGCCUGGGGAGUACGGCCGCAAGGUUGAAACUCAAAGGAAUUGACGGGG
rnacentral:rRNA from 1 species